AUGGCGCGUAAGACCCAGGCAGGGGUUGGAGUGGGUGGCAGCGAUCUGGAGCGAUGGGGGCACCAUGUCCUGCUGAUCCUGCUGGCUCUCCCAGGGCUCCGGGCGGCCGUGACCCUGCUGGAGAGUGGGGGGGACCUCCAGCCCCCCGGGGGGUCCCUGCGACUCCUCUGCCGAGGAGCCGGGUUCGAUUUUGGACAAUUUGGGAUGGGCUGGAUGCGUCAACGACCCGGGCAGGGACUGGAAUUCGUCGCAGGGAUCACCAACACUGGUGGCAACACCGGCUAUGCGGAUUCAGUCAAGGGCCAGUUCAGGAUCUCCAGGGACAACGGGCAGAGCUCAGUGACGCUGACCAUGAACAACCUCAAGGACGAGGAUUCCGGAUCCUAUUUCUGUGCCAUACCUUAUUCUCUGAUUUUCAUCCCAAACCUCUCUUCUUGA